ACGGCUCAGUAACACGUGGAUAACCUGCCCUUGGGUCCGGCAUAACCCCGGGAAACUGGGGAUAAUUCCGGAUAACGCACAUAUGCUGGAAUGCUUUAUGCGUAAAAUGGAUUCGUCUGCCCAAGGAUGGGUCUGCGGCCUAUCAGGUAGUAGUGGGUGUAAUGUACCUACUAGCCAACAACGGGUACGGGUUGUGAGAGCAAGAGCCCGGAGAUGGAUUCUGAGACAUGAAUCCAGGCCCUACGGGGCGCAGCAGGCGCGAAAACUUUACAAUGCGGGAAACCGUGAUAAGGGGACACCGAGUGCCAGCAUCAUAUGCUGGCUGUCCAGGUGUGUAAAAUACACCUGUCAGCAAGGGCCGGGCAAGACCGGUGCCAGCCGCCGCGGUAACACCGGCGGCCCGAGUGGUGAUCGUGAUUAUUGGGUCUAAAGGGUCCGUAGCCGGUUUGGUCAGUCCUCCGGGAAAUCUGACGGCUCAACCGUUAGGCUUUCGGGGGAUACUGCCAGGCUUGGAACCGGGAGAGGUAAGAGGUACUACAGGGGUAGGAGUGAAAUCUUGUAAUCCCUGUGAGACCACCUGUGGCGAAGGCGUCUUACCAGAACGGGUUCGACGGUGAGGGACGAAAGCUGGGGGCACGAACCGGAUUAGAUACCCGGGUAGUCCCAGCCGUAAACGAUGCUCGCUAGGUGUCAGGCAUGGCGCGACCGUGUCUGGUGCCGCAGGGAAGCCGUGAAGCGAGCCACCUGGGAAGUACGGCCGCAAGGCUGAAACUUAAAGGAAUUGGCGGGGGAGCAC
rnacentral:rRNA from 2 species